UUCGCAAUGCCCGAAAGGGUGACGAAGCGACGCCGCGUGGGUGAGGAAGGCCUUCGGGUUGUAAAGCCCUGUCAGGAGUUAAGAAAUGUAAGUGUGCUAAUAUCGCAUUUACUUGACGAAGGCUCCAAAGGAAGUCACGGCUAACUCUGUGCCAGCAGCCGCGGUAAUACAGAGGUGGCAAGCGUUGUUCGGAAUUAUUGGGCGUAAAGAGCACGUAGGUGGGUUUGUAAGUCAGAUGUGAAAGCCUCCUGUUCAACGGGAGAAUUGCAUCUGAAACUACUGAUCUUGAGUAUAGGAGGGGAGAAUGGAACUUCUGGUGGAGCGGUGAAAUGCGUAGAUAUCAGAAGGAACGCCGGCGGCGAAGGCGAUUCUCUGGCCUAUUACUGACACUCAGUGUGCGAAAGCUAGGGGAGCAAACGGGAUUAGAUACCCCGGUAGUCCUAACUGUAAACGAUGGGCACUAAGUAGAGGGGUUUU
rnacentral:rRNA from 2 species